CGCGGCCUAUCAGCUUGUUGGUGGGGUGAUGGCCUACCAAGGCUUCGACGGGUAGCCGGCCUGAGGGGGCGACCGGCCACAUUGGGACUGAGAUACGGCCCAGACUCCUACGGGAGGCAGCAGUGGGGAAUAUUGCACAAUGGGCGGAAGCCUGAUGCAGCAACGCCGCGUGCGGGAUGACGGCCUUCGGGUUGUAAACCGCUUUCGCCUAUGACGAAGCUUUUGUGACGGUAGUAGGAGAAGAAGCACCGGCUAACUACGUGCCAGCAGCCGCGGUGAUACGUAGGGUGCGAGCGUUGUCCGGAUUUAUUGGGCGUAAAGAGCUUGUAGGCGGUUGGUCGCGUCGAUAGUGCAAACUCAGGGCUUAACUCUGAGCCUGCUGUCGAUACGGGCUGACUUGAGGGAUGUAGGGGAGAAUGGAAUUCCCGGUGGAGCGGUGGAAUGCGCAGAUAUCGGGAGGAACACCGGUGGCGAAGGCGGUUCUCUGGACAUUUCCUGACGCUGAGAAGCGAAAGCGUGGGGAGCAAACAGGCUUAGAUACCCUGGUAGUCCACGCUGUAAACGGUGGGUACUAGGUGUGGGGGACAUUCCACGUUCUCUGUGCCGUAGCUAACGCAUUAAGUACCCCGCCUGGGGAGUACGGA
rnacentral:rRNA from 1 species